GUUCAGUAAUGUAGUCGGUGGACGUGUGUGUGUGUGUGUUCAGUAAUGUAGUCGGAGGACAUGUGUGUGUGUGUGUGUGUGUGUGUGUGUGUGUGUACAGUAAUGUAGUCGGAGGAUGUGUGUGUGUGUGUGUUCAGUAAUGUAGUCGGUGGACGUGUGUGUGUGUGUGUGUGUUAAUGUAGUCGGAGGACAUGUGUGUGUGUGUGUGUGUGUGUGUGUGUACAGUAAUGUAGUCGGUGGACGUGUGUGUGUGUGUGUGUACAGUAAUGUAGUCAGAGGACGUGUGUGUGUGUGUGUUCAGUAAUGUAGUCGGUGGACAUGUGUGUGUGUGUGUGUACAGUAAUGUAGUCGGAGGAUGUGUGUGUGUGUGUACAGUAAUGUAGUCGGUGGACAUGUGUGUGUGUGUGUGUGUGUGUACAGUAAUGUAGUCGGUGGACAUGUGUGUGUGUGUGUGUGUGUGUGUGUGUGUUCAGUAAUGUAGUCGGUGGACAUGUGUGUGUGUGUGUGUGUUCAGUAAU
ensembl:lncRNA